UCAGUACUCCCUCCGUCCCAAAAUUCUUGUCUUAGAUUUGUCUAAAUACGGAUGUAUCUAGUUACGUUUUAAUGCUAGAUACAUCCGUGUCUAGACAAAUCUAAGACAAGAAUUUUGGGACGGAGGAAGUAUUUU
rfam:Triticum urartu cultivar G1812 contig401500, whole genome shotgun sequence.